ACGGUACCGGAAGAAUAAGCACCGGCUAACUUCGUGCCAGCAGCCGCGGUAAUACGAAGGGUGCAAGCGUUACUCGGAAUUACUGGGCGUAAAGCGUGCGUAGGUGGUUCGUUAAGUCUGAUGUGAAAGCCCUGGGCUCAACCUGGGAAUUGCAUUGGAUACUGGCGGGCUAGAGUGCGGUAGAGGAUGGCGGAAUUCCCGGUGUAGCAGUGAAAUGCGUAGAGAUCGGGAGGAACAUCUGUGGCGAAGGCGGCCAUCUGGACCAGCACUGACACUGAGGCACGAAAGCGUGGGGAGCAAACAGGAUUAGAUACCCUGGUAGUCCACGCCCUAAACGAUGCGAACUGGAUGUUGGGUGCAACUAGGCACUCAGUAUCGAAGCUAACGCGUUAAGUUCGCCGCCUGGGGAGUACGGUCGCAAGACUGAAACUCAAAGGAAUUGACGGGGGCCCGCACAAGCGGUGGAGUAUGUGGUUUAAUUCGAUGCAACGCGCAGAACCUUACCUGGCCUUGACAUCCACGGAACUUUCCAGAGAUGGAUUGGUGCCUUC
rnacentral:rRNA from 1 species